AAAACUUCAGCCAGUGUACAGGGUGCCAAAAAAGUGUGCCAUCUCUGAGGAAAUCCCACUUCACAUUCAGGCUGUUCCACAACAGAGGAAAAAAGAAUUGUCGACUUUAUUGUAAAGUUAAAGGGGUCUGAGGAGCAUUUGACGGGUGUACUCAACGGGAAGCCCUCUAAGUGGUUGCGUAAGCAAGCAUCUUUCCAGGUGCCUGUCUACAUAGACAGUGAGGAAGAGCAAGAUAUCCCUUUGCUUAUCUUAAAGACGUACUGCACAGGACACCAACAAAACUGAGGUUUACAGAUGAAGUGCAGCUUAUCUGUGAUGUUCUUUUUCCAGAGGCCAUCAUACAUGCUCUGGGGGUCUUGAGGGGUUUGUCUUCAGAUGAUGCUGAGCAGGUUUACCUUUCUGGCACAAAAUAUAAUUACAG